CCUACGGGGGGCAGCAGUGGGGAAUAUUGGGCAAUGGGCGCAAGCCUGACCCAGCAACGCCGCGUGAAGGAAGAAGGCUUUCGGGUUGUAAACUUCUUUUCUCAGGGACGAAGCAAGUGACGGUACCUGAGGAAUAAGCCACGGCUAACUACGUGCCAGCAGCCGCGGUAAUACGUAGGUGGCAAGCGUUAUCCGGAUUUACUGGGUGCAAAGGGCGUGUAGGCGGGAAAGCAAGUCAGAUGUGAAAACCAUGGGCUCAACCUGUGGCCUGCAUUUGAAACUGUUUUUCUUGAGUGCUGGAGAGGCAGACGGAAUUCCUGGUGUAGCGGUGAAAUGCGUAGAUAUUAGGAGGAACACCAGUGGCGAAGGCGGUCUGCUGGACAGCAACUGACGCUGAGGCGCGAAAGCGUGGGGAGCAAACAGGAUUAGAUACCCUGGUAGUC
rnacentral:rRNA from 1 species